UCCUGCAUGACUGAAGAACUUAGUUCUCAUUAAAUUGCCCUCUCCUUUUACUUAUUAUAACCAGAAAUCAAUUGCCAGUUUUUUCAGUAACAGGCGAUAAUGGUUUUGCUGGCGUUAAUGAGAGCAGUGGGAACAGACAGCCGAGGGUGAAGGGAGGACAGUGCUGUUGUGGGGACAGCGUGAUGCAGGCACAGACAGUACACCUGCGAGAAAGUUACAUCCCAGGAGGGGCACAUAUGAAAAGAAAGAAGUAAGAAUGCCACAUGGUAUGAAAAAAACAAGAGUAGCAUUGACAGCAACUAGGUCAUUAGCAUCAGGAGAGGAGGGCAAGCACUCUGCCUAGUCUAACCACUUACCUAGUGUGGUUGUGUGAAAUGGUUAUAUUUGAGCUGAAACGGGAACACUGAGAAGGAGACAGCGCUGAGCAAGAACAAUUCCAGGCAGAGGAACCAGCAAGUUUGUCACGUUUUUCUAGGCAGAAGGUAGUCCAACAUGGCGAUGCAGAGUGAAUGAGGAGGUUAAUGGUAGGAGAUGAGAUCAAAGGGGUGGGCAGGAUGGUCUCGAUCUCCCAAAAUGGCCAGACCAUUUUGGGUCCUAUAGGCCUGGUAAGGGGACUGGAUCUACUAUGGCCACUGUGUGGCACAUGGGCUGUAAAGGACAAGAUUGAGAACCAAGAGACUGAACAAGAAGUUGUUUCUUCACCUGUACAAGUGUUGAUGGUGGAUGGGCUAGGCUAGUUGUGGUGAAAAAGACCACAUUCAGGACCUGUUUUGGAGAUAUGCCACUAAGACUUGCUAAUGAGGUGUAUAUGGGAAUGAGAGAAAGGGAAGAAUCAUCAGAGACUUCUAGACUUACGGCUUGAGCAAAUGAGUGAAUAGUGUUGCACUCAAAGAAGUUGGCGAAAUGAGCAGGGAGGGCAACAGGUUCCAGAGGAAAAGCAAGAACUUUAUUUUGGACACUUGGGGUUGAGACUCCUGUUAGACCCAGAAGGGAAGAUUGACAGUGAAGGGAAAAGGUGUUCUUGCCAUGAUCUGGCCUUACCCACAUUGGGAAACGUGUGAAUUUCAGACCAAAGACCAAAGUCAUCAUGACUCCAACACUGGACCAUAUUCUGACCACUAGAGGAACUGAAUUAGAGUUUCACUGAUGACAACUCCAUGCUGUUUGGGAUCAGCCAGACUUGACAAAACAUGCUGACACACCAAUCACGUGUCACAACACCAGACUCACAGACAACAUUUUCAUGGACACUGAGCCACUUCUGCUUUUAUCCUGUCCUCCUCCACUUCUAGCCUUCAGACACUUGGUGCCUCCCUGAGGAUACACCAACACUUCAAGAACACAGAGUGCACCUGGAGUCGGCUGAGUAGUCCUGUGUCCUGAAAUAACUGCUCGACGUUCCCAGAGCCAGUAAAUGGGAUUUGGGACAUUUUUGUCAUGAAGUCACAAUGUGGGACUAUAAAUGUCUUGCCUUUAAGGGUAGGGUCUUCCCAUGACCCAUCCAUAACAUUUGUGAAAAUGUUGUGUGUUGUGCGUUUUGGAGAGAAGAAUUUUCAUUAUCUUCACAAAGGGAUCUGUUACCCUAAAAGAUUUAGAAUCACUCAGCUUAUUGGUAAGAUGUGCCUAUUCUUUUAGACUCCAGGUGAGGCUUGAUCUCCAGUCUCAAAAGGAAAUAUAUGAUGUCAUCAGACCCCUAGUAAGGUAUUUCUGAAUGUAUGAUAUCAUUUCCAUGUAACUCACCUUGCUAAGUCAUUUAGAUCCAACCGACCAUCUUUAUUUCUGUCAAAAAUCUUCAUCUGAAAUGCAGAAGGGAAAAUGGUUGUACUUGUAACAGGAACUAAUUCUGAACGUUAUUAAAGCACUUUUCUAUUUUGCUCUUCUGAUUACAUAUUUGCCUAAAUUGGCUGAGGAGCCCACUUGCCUGGGGGAAAAUUAGUAUUUGUCACAGAAGGAAUUGCAUGUCAGCCUCUCUGUUAGGAUGAGUCGUAGUAACCAAAUCUCCUAAAUCUCAGUGGCUUAACACAACACAGGUUUAUUUUUCACAGGGUUAGCUGGCAGCUCUACUUCAUGUUGUCUAUACUCUGGCGACAUGGAGUGACAAAGUAGUGACCAUCUGGCACAUUCCUGAUUGCCAUGGCAGAAAGAAAGAAUAAUAAAUAAUUUACUGAUUAAAAUUUUAUUGUCCAAAGCAGAUCCCUGGCCACAGCUACCUUCAAAGGGACAGAAUAAUACAAUCCUGCCAUGUGCUUAAGAGGAAAACUAAUUAUUUGGAGGAUAGCAGCAACGACUACCACAGUCUCUGACAGGCAAAACAGGAUUUUUAUAAAGAUUACAAGCUUGAAAUAUGGGUACUUGGUUUGAGUCAAGGUUUUCUGAAACUAUUUUAUUCUAGCCCUCAUUUAGCAUAUCAACCACCAAGGAGGGCUUGGAGGGCUCAUAUCAUAGGGUACUCUCAUAGGGUAUAGGAGAAACCUCAUGUUUCCGUGAAGGCAAAAGGUGUUGACACUGAGUCUUUCCUUUCAUAGAGAGACUUAGCAUUGUCCAAAGAAGUUGUUUACAUUAUUAGAUGAGACUAAACUUUAAACAAGAUAGGACUAAAAGUUAAAAGUUUCUGCACUAACCACAAAUUAGAAAGACCAGAUUGGUUUGGGCAAAAUAGAAGAGAGAGAUUUCUUUGCAGAUCUGAGUUGAAAUGUGAGUGAAUUUUGUGACUUUACAACAUUUUAAUGCUACAGAAUAUCUCUAAGCAUAUCCAUAUAAGGAGGCUGCACAGGGAAAAAGAGGGAGCGAGAUAAUCUGAAAAUACAUCCAACAGAUUUUUGCUUUAAAAAAUGCAUUAGUCCCCCAUCCUUCCUCUGUCUCCAAAUCCAGUUUAUUUUUAAUAUUUCAAAUGAAUUUGAAAACCUAUUCUCACCACUUUGGCACCAAAAAUGUGUAUUACAGAAUUAAAACACAGGUUACAUUUUUAUACAUUUGGACAUGUUACAUGUCCAAUUACGUCCCUUAAACAUAAACACUAUACAGUAUCCAGUAAAAAGUCUGAUGGGGAUAAACUUUGCCAGAAGAUGAGCCAUGAGUUAUUUUCUGUGACACCUUCAUUAUGAGAGGUUCUAUCUUAAUAGAAAGCUAGGUCAGCUUGAGCUCUAAGCAAGUAACAACUCACCUUGAAAGACGUGGGCCUAACUCCAUUGCUGUGCAAACUUACUCCAAGAGAAAACAAUCCUGUGCUCGAAAUUGGCCUGGGUUGAACUAAACACCAGUGUGGUAAAUUAUGCUUCUACCUAUCAGAAAAUUGGCUAUGGCUCACGUAAGAAUAAGAAUCAGGAAAAAAAUCAUUUGCCUAAUUUUUCCAUCUCUGAGUGUAUACCAGCAGGGAUGAAUGGCACACAUAUUCGGCUGUGUCUGCUCUUCUACUUUCCUGGGGCCUCUGUAGCUCUAAGUUCAAAUAUUAAUAAUGAGGGAAGCUUGCAGCAUGCCUGUAGCACCAGACUAGAAAUCAGAUCUUGUGUGACAUUAAGACAUUAUGCUUCUUUGCAAGUAUAACCUUUAGUGAAUUUUGAAUGCUUGGCAUAUUUGUUUGAGACAUAAUGGCUUCUUAAUUUUUAAACUAUAAUAAAGACCAUUUAUGAGGG
rnacentral:lncRNA from 10 species